ACCUUUGGGUGAACAGGGAGACAGGUGGUGCAUGGUUGUCGUCAGCUCGUGUCGUGAGAUGUUGGGUUAAGUCCCGCAACGAGCGCAACCCCUACGUUUAGUUGCCAUCGGGUGGAGCCGGGCACUCUGGACGAACUGCCGUUGACAAAACGGAGGAAGUGGGGAUGACGUCAAAUCAUCAUGCCCCUUAUGUCCUGGGCCACACACGUGCUACAAUGGCCGGUACAGAGGGAAGCGAAGCCGUGAGGUGGAGCAAAUCCCAAAAAGCCGGUCUCAGUUCGGAUUGCAGGCUGCAACCCGCCUGCAUGAAGUCGGAAUCGCUAGUAAUCGCAGGUCAGCAUACUGCGGUGAAUACGUUCCCGGGCCUU
rnacentral:rRNA from 1 species